rnacentral:lncRNA from 1 species
AUCCUCCAGAGUGGGACGCUUAUGAUCCGUCCACUGGGCGCUGGAUCCACGUGCCCAAGAUGCCACCGUCUGGAUCCUACUUCUGGGAUUCCCUCGCUGUAGGAACCGAGCUGCUGCUGUUUGGGGAGACAGGUGUUGCCUUGAGAUAUAGCAUCCUUACCAAUUCAUGGACAGGGCUGCCUGAUGCUGAUGCGAUCAACACCCCGCGCUACUUGUUUGGGGCAGCGAGUGGUGGUGAGAAGGCGUACGUCGCGGGAGGCCUUGAUUCUUCUCGUACUAAUGCAUUGAGCUCUGCAGAGAUGUAUGACUCGGAGACACAUACUUGGACACCCCUUCCCAGCAUGAAUAGGGCCAGGUACGGAUGCUCUGGCGCCUUCAUGGACGGCAAGUUCUAUGUGAUCGGUGGUGUUAGCAGUACCAGUAGCCGCGAGCCGUUGACUUGCGGUGAGGAGUAUGACUUGAACCUGCGGUCAUGGAGAGUCAUCGACAACAUGUCUCAGGGGCUCAACGAGACAGUCGAUGGAGCUCCUCCGCUCAUUGCGGUUGUGAACAACGAGCUUUAUGGUGCUGAUUACAGUGAGAAUAAUGAUUUGAAGCAGUAUGAUAAGCUGGACAACAAGUGGAUCACUCUUGGGAAAUUGCCUGUACAGUCGAAGAACAAAGAUGCCUUUGACAUGGGUUUCCGAGCGUGUGGUGACCGGCUGAUUGUUAUUGGGCGUCCAAACAAUUCUACUGAUGAAAAGGUGGUUGAGCUUCAUUCAUGGAUCCCGGAUGGGCAACCGCCUGUGUGGAAUUUCGUUGCCACAAGGCCAUACCGGGGCAACGGGAUUCUGUGCGCCGCGAUGGGUUGCUGAGUUGGUCAACUAAAUAAACCUUGGAUACACGCAAGAUAUGAGUAAGUUACUUACCAUGUACUGCUUGCUUUGUAUAAAAAAAUUAUUUAUCCUGUUUGCUCCAAGAUUAGAAUGACAUGGAGUUUCUCUUCAUAUUUCCAUGCAGUGCUGGCUGUGCCUCAUUCUGAAUUUCUGAAUUUCCUGGGAGCGCUCCGCUGAUGAUACAAAAAAGACAAGACAUGAAUGAGUUCCGGAGAAAGUGGCUUCAGAAACAUCAAGAGUUUUAGUCACUAGCUGUUAUUUCCAGUUGCAAUUUGUGUUCCAAUAAUGUUUUAACGCUUCCUACGGGCGUUUUGAUGAUCUUGAUCUCCAUCAUCCAACUUUAUCUUUACAGUACAACAGAACUCUCAGUUACUUUUCGAACAUCGAAUGCAGUCUCUAGCUUUCCCUCUAUUUUUGUUCAAGAUUUUUCGAACUCGGAAUAAAAAACAAUCUGGACUCUUCGUUAUUCAGUCAGCUGUUCUGAAAAUGUAUUUUAACUGCUACUGACAUACAUGUUUUUAACUGCUUAUUUUUACAGAUAAAUAAUGUUUACAGAUAAAUGGCAAACACUUAUUUCAUUGUGAAUAUAUCAUGAUUGUUUAUUACAAAAAGUACUUGCACAUUUUAACUGCUUAUUUAUACAAAAUUUAAAACUUUUUGAUAAAUUAAAAUUUUUAUACAUGAUGUUCCAAAAUAUAUGGUGAACAUAUUAAUACACUUGGGAUAUUUUACAAAUACACUAUGAUUAUUUAUGAAUUCAUGAUGAAUUUUACAAAUACACUAUGAUUAUUUAUGAAUUCAUGAUGAAUUUUAAAAUACAUGAAAUUUAUUUUUAAAAUACAAGAUGGACGUUUUUUAGUUACCAAUUGAUAUAUAUUUUUACAAAGCAUUUUUUAAAAAAAAAAUUAUUCAUGUUGAACAAUUAUUUUUACAAAAUGAAUAUUUAUUUAUUAUAAAUGAGGAGUUGUGAAUACACGAUGAUCAUUUUUUAUAAAUACACAAUGAAUUGUCUUUCAUGCAAGAUGAACAAUAUUUAAAUAAAACAUGAUUAUUGUUAACAUGAUACAGGUGCGCCUCGCCCGACUCUCUCACGCCACGCCUGCCAAGGACGAGAGCCACGUCGCCGCCGACCUCCGCGGCGGCCGCGCUCGCCAAGAUGCCCGCCGUGUACGGGCCCUCCACGCCAACGUCCUGCUGGCCGAUCUCAACGCUCCCGUCAGGCUGCGUCACAUGCAUUGUUGCUCCCGUCAGGCUGCUGAAACCUGCGAGAUGAAGGAGGCUUUGAUGGCCCCGUCCACAUAUUAUUCACACCUACUUGUUAUGUUUUUUAUUUAACCCUUGUCAGAGGCCUUGAUUACUACUCGUCCGUUUAAGUUUUUUUAAAAGUUUCACUAACGUGCUACAUACAGAUGACAUACUUUAGAACGUAGAUUCACUCAUUUUGCUCUGUAUGUAUUAGUAAAAUUUAUAAAAAAGACUUAUAUUUAGGAACAGAUGGAGUAUACUGGUCUGAGUGUGAUAUAGUAUGAAGCUGUGUUCUUCAAGGGUGCCUGCCACACAGGUUGGAGUUUCUUAUUAUUCACAUAUUUCCGCGUUAGCUUUUCUAUAGUAUUUACUACUCACAUUGAUGUAUCUCAUAGUUUUAAAUAGCCGGCUAUAGCCUUUUCAGCAGGCUUCCGCUAAAUGAUAUCAUGUACAAAUAAGCCGCCUAUAGCUCGCUAUAGCUGAUUUAGAGGCCCUCCGCUAUUUAUAACAUAGAUUUAUCCUGAAAUCUAACCUUUUCUUUAUCAUCUCAAACCGUACCCCAAAUCAUCUUUCUAAUCUCCAACACAGGUAAGAGACACUUUCAUUACAUUCAUCUUGUGCUAACUCAUUUUUUUUUGCUACAGGUCGGGUCCAUUGUGACCAAUGUUUUAAAACGCGGGCUAUGACAUUUAGCGGCGGCUCGGCCAGAAGCUAUGAAAGGCUAUAGCGGAGCUAUGCCUCAUUUAGCGUUUCUCUUAAAUCAUGAAAUAUUAAAACAAUAAGUAUAUAAUCAGGCAUCAUAUAUGAUAUAUUGCAUAUACUUUACAUAUACACAUGUUCGUACAUCAAAACGCGAGUACUAAUCAGACAUCCUGAUUCAGUAACCAAGUUUGACAUCCAUGCAUCAUACAUAUCCUAAACAAGAACAAAAAAUAAUUCAGAAGUAUGGUUUUGUAUAGUGGCUUAACGGGCUAAAUGACUCCAAAUUUAAUGCUAUACCGGGAAAUAGCGGGCUAUUAGCGUCAUUUUCAAUUUAGCCCUAAAAAUGCAUAGCUUUAGCGGGAGAGCUCCCAAAGGCUAUAUCUAAUAUGAUUGAUUGUGACUGGUGGCCAUUACAUCGACAACCUUGUGGGUAGCAUCGUUGCUGGCAAGAAAAGUCCCUGCUGUUGGCGUCAGCCUUGGAAUCGAAGGAGUCUUCACGGUCAUGCAGGAGAAAAAGAAGAAUCAGGUACUAACUAAAUUCCUUCAGAGAAGAUGUACAAAUACUGAGACAGAUAUAUACUUACAAUGCUGGUCUUUAAUAUUUAUUUCACGGUUAUUUUCUCCAAGUAGGAGGAAUUUUUAGUUUUUUUAAUUUGGUAGUUAAUUGACAAACACUAACUACAAAGCAACAUUUAAUCUUUUACUUUAUGACCAAUCAAAAUGUUACUCCAUGUCUUUGUGCAAUUUGUUCUCUCUCCUGUCUCUCAUGUUUCAAUGUGUUGGUGGAUAUAUUUUUUUCAUCUAUCUUUGUAUCCAGAUGUUUCAAUGGAAGGCACACGUGGAGAGGUGGAGGCCCCCUUCAGUGUUUCACUGGGCGCCAUUGGACCCAUUCUUAACAAGCUCGACAUGAUGCUAGGUCCUCAAGGAUGCAAGCUGCCCAAGGGGCUCCAUGACAGAUUUCACCUGCUAAAAGAUAAUGUUGAAGAAAUAAGUGCAUACCUUGAAGAUCUGUUAGAGGUGGAGGACCCUCCCAUGGCGGUGAAGUGUUGGAUGAAAGAGGCACAAGAGUUAUCCUAUGACAUCCUUGAUUAUAUUGACAGCCGUGUAUCCCUUGAGCUUCUGGAAUGCAGAUCUGUCCGCAAGAUGGGUCUUAUUAAGAUUGCCAAGAAGCUCAAGUGGCAGAAACAAAUUGAGUAUGCAACUCCUCAUGUGCCAGAACAUGUUAUCCCCAAAACCAUUUGUGUUGAUGUCAUUCGUGCUCCCAGGAGGCUCAAGUGGUACCAGCAGAUGAUUGAAAAGGUAUCAGAAUUCAGGAUCUAUGCCCUGGAGGCUAUUCAACGGUAUGAGAGGUACCAAGUCCUUUGUUGUAGUACCUCGACGGCAUGUAGAUUUUCUGCCAUUGGGCCUUUAAUGCCAAUGCCUCCACCGCCUUGUGAGAAAACUUGUUCUGGCCUAGUAAUUGAUGGUCGGAUGAGCAAGCUUAUCAACUCACAGCUGGCUAAUGAUGAGAAUGAGCAGCUCAAGGUGGUGUCUAUUCAUGGAUCUGGAUGUCUUGGUAAAACAAUGCUUGCCAAAGUGUUGUAUAAUAAAAUUGGGAGAAAAUUCGAUUGCCGAGCUUUCAUCCAGGUGUCCAAAAAGCCUGAUAUAAAGAAGCUUUUGAAUGACAUGCUAUCACAAAUCCAUAGGAAGCAGCCCCAAGCAAGCCAAAAGGCUUCUGAUGAACUUCGCAUAACUGCUGACAAUAUCAGGAAUUAUCUACAUGGGAAGAGGUACUUAUUUUCCUCAUGAAAAUAGUAUGUACUAGUUGUAUCCAUGAAUGUCCAGAAUCACAAGUAUUACGUAAAUUCCUUAUAGGUUCCUACUUUGUUUUUCACAAAAAAUAAGGCAUGAUGAUGUUAUUCAGACAAGCUUUACAGUGAGCUAGAAAAGAAUUUACUUAUUUUCCACAUGGUCUAGAAUCGCAUGUACUACAUUAAAUCGCUACAGGUUGAUCUGUUGUUUUUUUCAAAAAAAAAAAAAGGCAUGAUGAUAUAUAGUCAAUUUCUGAAAAGAUGUUUUUCAGACAAGCUUUACAGUGAGCUAGCAAAUGAUGCUGGCAGUAACAUUUAAUUUCAGGCUGGUACCAUAAAUCCAUGCAUUUUUUGGUACCAUAUAAAUCCGUGCAUGGACUAAAUACUCAUUCUUUUCUAGCUUAUCUCAGUGCUGUUGCCAUUUGCCUGGCACAUAGAUGUGACAUGUGUGGACUUUCUUGGCGUGCAGGUAUCUAAUUAUUGUUGAUGAUUUAUGGGAUACAUCGGCAUGGGACGUUAUUAAUCAGGUUUUCCCCAAGGGUAGUCAAGGUAGCAGAAUAAUAACAACUACACAGAUUGAAGAUGUUGCAUUAGCAUGUAGCUGCGAUCACCCAGAACAAGUUUUUGAGAUGAAACCUUUGGAUGAUGGUCACUCAAGGAAGCUAUUCUUUGGCAGGAUUUUUGGCUCUGAAAGUGACUGUCCUGAAGAAUUCAAACUAAUUUCGAGCCAACUUGUAGAAAUAUGUGCUGGAUUGCCACUAGCGACCAUCAGCAUAGCAAGUCUUUUAGCAAACCAGCCUUCUGUAUCAGUGGAUUUAUUGACACACAUACAUGAUUCAUUAGUGUCUUGUUUGUCAUCAAAUUCAACUUCAGAAAGAACGAGACAUGUACUGAACCUCAGCUACAACAACCUUCCUCAUUACCUCAAGACAUGCUUGCUCUAUUUUAGUAUGUAUCCAGUGGGAUCCAUAAUCUUCAAACUUGACCUGGCCAGGCAAUGGGUGGCCGAAGGGUUUAUUGCUGCAAGUGAAGGGCAAGACACAGAGGAAGUUGCAGGAAUGUAUUUCGAUGAACUUGUUGAUAGAAGAUUCAGCCAACCUGUGUCUAUCAACUUCAACAAUGAGGUGGUGUCCUGCACAGUUCAUGCCGUGGUGCAUGAUCUUAUUGUACACAAGUCUGCUGAAAAGAAUUUCCUUGUGGUAGUAGAUUGCAAUCGAAAAAAUUUGACGCUUUCUCAUAAGGUCCGUCGACUAUCUCUGCAACUUGGUGAUGCAAAAUGUGCCAAGAUACCAGCAAACAUCAGAAAGUCACAAGUACGGUCACUUGGAUUUUUUGGAUUGGCAGAGUGCAUGCCUUGUAUUGGAGAGUUCAAGCUUGUUCGUGUUCUCAACCUUCAGCUAUCCGGUCUUCGUCAUGGUAACAAAGACCUGUCCAUAGACCUCUCUAGAGUAUCAGAACUGUUCCAUCUGAGAUAUCUGAAGAUUGCUUGUGAUGUCUGCAUAAAACUUCCGAAGCGGAUGAGAGGGCUGCAGUGUUUGGAAACACUGGAUGUUAUGGAUACACCAAGAGGCACUUAUGUUCCAUGGGACAUUAUAUAUCUCCCACGCUUGUUGCACCUCAGUCUUCCUCCUNUCGAGGUGAAAUUAGUGGAUUCCGGUUCCCAUGGCGAUAAAAGGUAGUACUUUUGUUGCUGUUGAGUUAUUCAAUUAAACCUUAUUUGAGUAUUCAUGCUCUAAAUGGUUGUUGUAACCUGCAGGAUAUCACCAGAGUCCUCUUCGCGCCUGAAUCCUGCAGGUAUGCUUUUCAGUUGUAAUUGAGACGUUUCGUCAUGAGGUGAUAAAUUACUCGUAGAAAUUAGUAAGACAUGGAUGAAGUGUUGGCUUUUGGCAGGUGUAGAGGAGGGUGGAAAGGAGCAGGCUGUGGUCUCGUGGAGCAAUACCAUUGAUGUGAUAGGUCGGGAACUCUUCUUCCGUUGCCUGCACCUUGUGCCCAGGCGGGACUACGGCACCAUCGCCUCCCUCAACCGUGAAUUCAAUUCGGUGGUUCGCGACGGGGACAUCUACCGCCUGCGUCGCAAGAAUGGGGUGGCGGAGCACUGGCUCUACCUCUCUUGCGGUAACGAUUUUCUGGAUUGGGACGCUUAUGACCCGUCCACUGGGCGCUGGAUCCAAGUGCCCAAGAUGCCACCGGCUGGAAGCUCCUUCUGGGACGCGCUCGCUGUCGGAACCGAGCUGCUGGUGUUUGGGGCCUGCGGAGGGGCUACCUUGAGAUAUAGCAUCCUUACCAAUUCAUGGACAGGGCUGGCUGACGCUGAUGCGAUCAACACCCCGCGGUACCAAUUUGGGUCAGCGAGUGUCGGUGAAAAGGCGUAUGUCGCAGGAGGCUUUGAUUCUUCUUUUAUUAAUGUAUUGAGCUCGGCAGAGAUGUAUGACUCGGAGACAUACACCCCUUCCCAGCAUGCAUAGGGCCAGGUACAGAUGCUCUGGCGCCUUCAUGGACGGC